rnacentral:rRNA from 1 species
AGCGAACGCUGGCGGCAGGCCUAACACAUGCAAGUCGAACGAACCCUUCGGGGUUAGUGGCGGACGGGUGAGUAACACGUGGGAACGUGCCUUUAGGUUCGGAAUAACUCAGGGAAACUUGUGCUAAUACCGAAUGUGCCCUUCGGGGGAAAGAUUUAUCGCCUUUAGAGCGGCCCGCGUCUGAUUAGCUAGUUGGUGAGGUAAUGGCUCACCAAGGCUACGAUCGGUAGCUGGUCUGAGAGGAUGACCAGCCACAUUGGGACUGAGACACGGCCCAAACGCCUACGGGAGGCAGCAGUGGGGAAUCUUGCGCAUUGGGCGAAAGCCUGACGCAGCCAUGCCGCGUGGAUGAUGAAGGUCUUAGGAUUGUAAAAUCCUUUCACCGGUGAAGAUAAUGACUGUAGCCGGAGAAGAAGCCCCGGCUAACUUCGUGCCAGCCGCCGCGGUAACAC